rnacentral:rRNA from 1 species
UACGCUGGCGGCACGCCUAACACAUGCAAGUCGAACGAAGUAGCAAUACUUAGUGGCAGACGGGUGAGUAACAUGUAGGUAUCUGCCCUUUGGCCUGGAAUAACACGAGGAAACUUGUGCUAAUACCUCAUAAGUCUUUACAGAGAAAGCUUUAUGCGCCAAUGGAUGAGCCUGCACUUGAUUAGUUUGUUGGUAGGGUAAUGGCCUACCAAGACAAUGAUCAAUAGCUGAUUUGAGAGGAUGAUCAGCCACAUUGGGACUGAGACACGGCCCAAACUCCUACGGGAGGCAGCAGUAGGGAAUCUUGCACAAUGGGGGAAACCCUGAUGCAGCGAUGCCGCGUGAGUGAAGAAGGCCUUUGGGUUGUAAAGCUCUUUCGUCGGGGAAGAAAAUGACUGUACCCGAAUAAGAAGGUCCGGCUAACU